UGAGGUUCAGGGACUGGUAUGCUGCUGUCCAUCAGUGAAUAUGAUGCUGAGAUGAUAGAGGCUUCCAGGAAAUUGGAAACGAUGGGUGCAGUGAGUCCCAGGAAGAUGAGGCUGGAGAGAGCCCCAGUCCAUCCCGGAGCACACAUCCAUGUGUGGCAGGAGGUGUUUUUAAGACAUGAAUGGCCCAUGGGAAUGGUUUACACACAACAAAAGUGGAGCACCUAAAGAAACACAAAACGAGAAACGGCAAAUAAAUGUUGCAAUAGUCUAAGAUGUUUCAUUUUAAUUUUAUUACAUAUGUCCAUUAAAACUAGCAUUGCACUAACCACGACACCUGGAGAACCAUCAUCAUAUAGUGGGGACAUUGAGUAAUGGACCUAGUUCAAUGGUGUAAUUUCACCCAGGAUUUAAGAUAAGACCACUUUAUUGGCCAUAUCCAAUUUCUUGCAUUGGGAAUUCGUCUUUUCGCUUACCCCAGCUUGCU